rnacentral:misc_RNA from 1 species
UACUAAAAACCCUAGUUUUCUUCAUUGUUCUUGGGCAAAACCCUAACUUUGUCUCUAAGCAACCUUGUUCUUCUUUUCAUUGAAUCUUUGGUCACUGAAUAGCGAGAGAGUUAAGUAAAUUUGUUUACCCCCUUUAAACAAAUUUAUUGUGUGAUUUUCAGAAUCAACAAUUGGCGCGCCAGGUAGGGGGACACAAACAACUCUCUUCGCAUAUUACUCAUCCAAGUUUUCGGUGAACGCUCAUCAAGCCAAGAUAAUCCAAUCCGUUUAUUUGCUCGGCGAUUUCCCGUCAGGUUCCAAUGAACCGGGUGACGUGUAACGUGUUCCCGGAUUGCCCCGGAGAUCAGCUUUCCAGGGAGUCUAACCAUGGUUCAAUCGGAUAUCUAUUCUGAGAGUUAUCACCGUAUUUGUAAAGCCGAUGCUGUCUGUUUCAACACAGAUCCGUCUGAAUAGACCAGUCAACCUGAGGACCGAUUUCCCGAUAUGUCGCAACGACUCUUGCAUCAAAUAAUAUGUUCACGGAUUGCCCCGGUUGUUAGCUUUCCAGGGAAUCUAACUACCCUUCGAUCCGAUAUCUCAUCCGAGAAUUAUCUCCAUGUUUCUGCAGAGGAUGCAAUCUCGUUUGACAUAGAAUCCUUUCUUAAGAAGACUAGUCAUCUUAGGGAUCAAUUCCCCCACAAGUCUCAACGAUUCUCGAAACUAGUAGCACAUCUAUGGAUUUUCCAGCGAGUCAGGUGUCCCUAGAAGCUGACCUCACUUCCAUCGGAGCUGUCUAUCGAAUGUUAUCCCUGCUAUCCAGAAGAUGCGAUCUUUAGAACUACGAAUCCGUCUGAAUAAUCCAGCUCACCACGGGGCCGAAUUCCCGACAAAUCACAGGGAAUCUCGUAAGGGUUAAUACAUCUACGGAUCGCCCAGAGAGUCGUCUUUUCGGAGAAGUUGACCUCGCCUUAAUCGAAGAUAUAUGCUGAGAGAUAUAAACGUUUACCUCAAGCAAGUGCAACCAGUCAUGAGACCCAACUCUAUAAAACCAGUCAGCUUCGGGAUCGUUUUCCUUGAAAAUCCUGAUGAACUAGGCAGUGAUAUACCUAUCUACAGAUCGCCCCAAGAGUCAGCUUUCUAAAGAAGCCGACCUCGCCUCGAUCCGAGCUGUCUAUUAGGAGAGAUCAUCACUUCUCUGCACUAGACACAAUUUCCCUGACAAAUCCGCAGCUGUCGGAACAGCCAACUUACGAAUCAAACUCCAAGCGACCUGGAAAGAAACAAGAUACAAUCUACGCGACAACGGAAAGCUUCGAGUUUUAUAGAGACCUAUCUCAUCUCUAUAGGUGAAUUCUUUCGAUGAAUAUCGCUGAUUUUCUACUGAUAAGCCUCUAGGUCAGAGAUUCAGUUGUCAAAACGGUUGACUUGGAAGAGAGUUUCACGGCGAGUUAAAGAGAGAGGAGUCAAUCUACGUGUCGAUUUGAAGCCCUGAGCUUUAUCUUUCCAACGAAUCUAACCUAGAUCCAAUCGAAGCAAUCUUCCAAGCGAUAUUGGCGUUUCUUUCAAGCGCAGAUUCGUCUCUAUCCGACCAGCCGAACUCAGGCUCAAUUUCCCAGUGAUCUAGAGAGACUCAGGAGACGAUCUACAGAUCAAUUUAAAGCCCUGAGGCUCCUCUUUUUUUUUU